UAGUAGGCUGGUAAAAGAGGAAAAAUAUGUUGUGUAAUGAUUGAAUUACAAAAGGCGUGAUAAGUAUUAUGUCAUACAGUUUAUAUGAUUUCAUGAUGAUGAUAAUGUUAUUGCUUUCGUAUAUUAUUUUUAUGAAUUUCACCGAGGUAAGCUUAUUUAAAGGUUUUAUUAUUGAUAAAGGAUUUGUUGUAAAUUAUGUUCCAUUAGUCUUUUUAUGUUUUCUACCCACCUUUACCUCCGUGACGGUGAGAUAUCGUGAUGUCUUUACUGGGCUAGUAUAGCUCAUUCCUUAUUUAAUCAUUUCAGAUCAGGAAGAAAUUGUUCCCGAGCCCGUUCCGCAGGAAGACGACGAAGGGGACGCCUAAAGACUCCAUAGUCAUAUUCAUAGCUUUUACUUUCGAGUUUCUCUUUUAGUUAGUUUGAUCUUUUAUAUUUUGAGCACGUUUUUUGUUUUAGUGUAAGGGAUGUUAAUCGAAAUUUUGACUUCGCUUCCGCAUUUGACAUUUUUUAAUACACAUAUUUCAUUUUAAAUUUUCGGGGCCGUUACAGUUGGUAUCAGAGCCAGGUUUCCUCGAACCCAUCCCUUACACAAUAGCACCUUAGAGAAAUAUUCACCGAUAUAUCGUUACUCAACCAUUCCUUGUGAAUGCAGGUACACGAAAAUGAUGAGAGGAAGGCCCCCACUAAAUCGAGCGGCCCAAAAUAAUUCGCUUCGGGAGGAUUUAGACAAACUAUUUGAGAUGGUGGAAGCUCUCGUAGCUGCCCAGCAAAGGCGAUAGGAGAGAAGGGAGUUACCCAGACCUCCUCCGCUAUCGCAGGUUGAGCCCUCGCUACAGCAGGCUGAUCCCGAGCCACCCCGGCAGGAGCCUGCUCCUCCACAGUACCACCCGGCACCACAGCCGCGGUACGACCCGGUACCACAGCGACGGUACCACCAGGUGCCGCCACAGCACAUUCCAGUACCCCUACCACAUCAGCAGGUGCCACCACAGGGUCCCCCAGUUCACCCUCAGCCGGCCCCAGUCCCUCUACCUCGGGACCCCGCUCAUUCCUUGAUCGACCCCGGCUUCAUAGAGAGGUACAGAAGACUGAACCCUUCUACUUUUGCAGGGGGAUCCUCUUUUGAAGAGGCCCAAUACUGGCUGGCAGAGACUGAGAGAGCUUUCGAGACCUUGGGAGUAGUUCCUGAGCAGAGGGCUGCCAUUGCCUCCUACAUGCUAGUAGGGGAAGCAGUACGCUGGUGGGAGCUCAAGCGGACCACCCUGCCUACACCAGCUACUUGAGAGCAGUUCUUAGCGGCCUUCCACGCGGAAUAUCUCCCUAAACACAUCCAACACCUAAAGGAAAUGGAGUUUGCUCAAUUGGUCCAGGGAAACAUGACAGUGUCGGAGUAUGCCCGUAAGUUCCUGGAGCUGGGCCGACAUGCCCCGGAGACAUUGAUGGAUGAGGGCCGAAAGGCCAGGAAAUUCCAGUGGGGUUUCCGCCCGGAGAUCAGACAACACUUACUGGUAAUGGAGCUCGAGACAUAUUCAGCAGUCCUGGUAAAGGCACAGAUCAUAGAAAUGAGCUUCGACACCCACCCUCAACUAGCGGGGAGUUCCCGACCCUCAGCCCCGCUCUGCAGGCCAGCACCUACCAUGCCUGUCCAACCCAGUAAGAGGCCUAGACCCGCCAUCCAGGCCCCUCCUUAGGCUACGGGGGUAGCACGUGGGAAGAUCUGCCAGCACUGCGGCAGGGAUCACGGGGACCGACCCUACUACCGCCUCAGCAACACCUGUCGCAUAUGCGGCAGUGCCCAGCACUAUGCAAGGGAAUGCCCUAGGAACCAGAAUCAAAGAAGGCCUCCAAUCCAGGGCAGAGUUUACAACCUUACCUAGAAGGAUGCCGACGCAGACCCGGACGUGGUACAUGGUAUGUAUACUAUCUCUGGCCACAUUGCUCAUGUUUUGUUUGACACUGGUGCAUCACAUUCUUUUGUUUCACAUGUUCUUGCUUCCAAAAUUUGUGUAUCACCCGAUAGACUUGAUUCAUUAUUGCUUGUAUCUACCGCUGGGGGGGAGACAUUGCUAGGAGAGGUUAUCUACAGGGCAUGUGCCGUGGAGAUAGCAAAUAGGAAAUUGAGGGUAGACCUGAUAGGGUUAGACACGGGGAAUUUUGAUGUAAUCCUAGGAAUGGAUUGGCUAGCGGCGUAUCACGCCAUCAUAGACUGCUUUAACAAAAAGAUUGUAUUUAAUCCUCCCAACGAGGAGCCAUUUACAAGUUAAUAAAAUCAUUCAGUACUGAUUUUCCCUGAUGGCAAGUUUUCUUAAUUCCCAGUGCCUUAAUCUUAUAUUUUCUCUAACUAGGUAAACCCAAGAAAGAAGUUUGUAUACAAGAGAUUCCAGUAGUCCGAGACUUUCCAGAGGUAUUUCCAGAUGAACUGCCCGGUCUACAAGUGGACAGAGAGGUCGAGUUCACCAUAGACUUACAGCCAGGUACCCAGCCCAUCUCAGUUGCUCCUUAUCGAAUGAGCCGCAUCGAGAUGGAAGAACUAAGGAAACAGAUCACUGAGUUAUAAGACAGUGGUUUCAUUAGACACAGCGUUUCCCCUUGGGGUGCCGGGGUUACUUUUGCAAGGAAGGGAGAUAGAACGUUGAGACUGUGCAUUGAUUAUAGAAGGAUAAACAAGGUAACAAUUAAGAACAAAUAUCCUCUUUCCCGGAUUGAUGACCUUUUCGAUCAGUUGCAGGGUGCACGAGUCUUUUCUAAAAUAGAUCUACGAUCAAGUUACCAUCAGGUAAAGGUAAGAACAGAAGACAUCCCCAAGACGGCAUUCCGAACCAGGUACGAACACUAUGAGUUCCUGGUCAUGCCGUUUGGGCUAACCAACGCCCCGACCAUCUUUAUGGAUCUAAUGAACAAGAUCUUCAGAGAGUUCUUAGAUCAAUUUGUCAUCGUGUUCAUCGAUGAUAUCUUAGUCUACUCAAAAAGUAGAGAAGAACAUGUUCAUCAUCUUGCCCAAGUCCUACAGGUACUCAGGGAAAAGAAGUUGUAUGCAAAGUUGAGCAAGUGUGGAUUUUGGCUCGAGCAAACCGCCUUCCUAGGACAUGUUAUAUCGAAGGAAGGGGUAUCAAUGAACCCUGAAAAGGUUGCAGCGGUACUUGGUUGGGAAAGGCUGACAACAGUUAAGGAAAUUUGCAGCUUCCUGGGGAUGGCAGGUUAUUACCGCCGGUUUGUCGAAGGGUUCUCUAAUUUAGCAGCUCCUCUAACCCGACUCACAAAGAAGAAUGCAAAGUUUGAAUGGAAUGAGGACUGCGAAAGGAGUUUUUCAGAAUUGAAGAAGCGACUGACUACUGCUCUCGUGCUGGCUCUACCGAGUGGAUUAGGAGGGUAUACAGUUUAUAGUGAUGCCUCCUAUCUGGGCCUGGGUUGUGUCCUGAUGCAGCAUGGAAAGGUUAUAGCAUAUGGGUCUAGACAGCUAAAGAAUCAUGAGAAGAACUAUCCUACCCAUGACUUGGAGCUUGCCGCAAUCAUACACGCCUUGAAAACCUGACGCCAUUAUUUAUAUGGAGAGACCUUUCAGAUCUAUACCGAUCAUAAGAGUUUGAAACACAUCUUCACUCAGAAGGAUCUCAACAUGCGUCAGAGAAGGUGGAUGGAACUCCUCAAGGACUAUGAUUGUGACAUCCUAUACCAUCCAGGUAAGGGCAACGUAGUAGCCGAUGCCCUCAGCAGGAAAAGUGCAGGCACCCUAGCCCAUUUGACGGUUUCAUAAUGCAGGUCAAUUGGGGCCACGCAGCAGGUUCGACUGCGAGAUCUGAAGAGGGUCACAUGUUUGGGCCACCUAGCAGUCCAACCCGAGUUAAUCCAAUGAAUAAAGGAAGCCCAGUCCGUCGACCCCGCCCUAGUAAACCGCAAGAAGGAUGCAGAACAGGGAGUGAGUUCAGAAUUUUAGAUCUCUGUCGACGGAUUGAUUCGUUUCAAGGACAGAGUGUGUGUCCCAGACGACAGUGAGUUAAAAAGAGACAUCAUGACAGAGUCCCAUAGUUCAAGAUUUGCCAUGCAUCUAGGAAGUACAAAAAUGUACCAAACUAUGCGACCUCGGUUCUGGUGGAAUGGGAUGAAGAGAGACAUAGCCGACUUUGUAUCUAAAUGCUUGGUAUGUCAGCAGGUCAAAGUAUAACAUCAACGCCCAGGUGGGUUACUUCAGCCUUUACCGAUUCCAGAGUGGAAGUGGGAACAUAUCACCAUGGACUUCGUAUCGGGACUACCCAAGGCACGAUCAGGACAUGAUGCUAUAUGGGUAAUUGUUGACCGACUCACUAAGUCUUCCCACUUUCUGGCCAUCAGAAUAACUGAUUCUUUGGACAAGUUGGCAAAAAUGUAUAUCCGGGAGAUAGUCAGACUGCAUGGAGUCCCAGUGAUAGUGGUAUCCGAUAGGGACUCCAGAUUCACUUCUCGGUUUUGGAAUAGUUUCCAGCAAGCUAUGGGAACAAAGCUGUCUCUUAGUACUGCCUUCCACCCCCAAACUGAUGGACAAUCAGAGAGGACAAUUUGUACGCUUGAGGAUAUGCUCCGAGCUUGUGUCAUUGACUCCGGAGGCCAUUGGGACGACUAUCUGCCCCUGAUAGAGUUUGCCUACAACAACAGCUACCAAGCAAGUAUCAGCAUGGCUCCAUAUGAGGCGCUAUAUGGGCGCCUGUGCAGGUCACCGAUUUGUUGGGAGGAAGUGGGCGAUAGAAGAUUGUUCGGCUCGGAGUUGGUAGAGGAGACCACGUCCAAGAUAGUUAAAAUCAAGAAGAACAUUCAGACAGCUCAGAGUAGGCAGAAGAGUUAUGCAGAUACCCGGAGGAGAGACCUAGCUUUUGAGAAAGGCGACCGGGUGUUUCUUAAGGUCACUCCUUUCAAGGGAAUUAGUAGGUUCGGCAGGAGGGGAAAAUUAAACCCCAGAUAUAUUGGACCCUUUGAAAUCUUAGACAAGAUUGGUACCGCUGCCUACAGACUUGCACUGCCUCCUGAGCUCUCCCGGGUUCACAACGUGUUUCACGUAUCUAUGUUAUGUAAGUACAACCCGGACCCUUCUCAUGUCUUGGCUCAUGAACCGCUUCCACUCCGAGAGGACUUGUCUUAUGAAGAAGUACCGGUCGGUAUCACGGAUCGAGAGAGCAGAAUACUCCGCAACCGGAAAAUAUCAUUUGUAAAGGUCGUGUGGCAGAACCACACACCCAGGGAGGCUACUUGGGAACUGGAAUUAGAAUUUAGAGCCCAGUAUCCCCAUCUGUUCGAUCAAGAGUAAGAGGCAAAUUUGGGGGACCAAAUUUCUUUAAGGGGGGGAGAGUUGUAACGCACAAAUAAUUGGGCAUUUUUGUUAUUAUAUUAUUAAUUUUAUUUAUUAAGUUUAAAUAAAAAAAAAAGAGUGCCACGUUAGCAGCCACGUCAGCGGCCCAGUCAGCAGCCCUGGCCAAUCAGGACCUGCCGCGUGGCAAGACCACGUCGACCAGGGAACGGGCCACGUGGGCGAUCUGCGUGCGCGCGAUCGGACGGCCCAGAUGCGUCCCCGCACUCACGGACGGCCUAGAUCAAGCGUGCGCACGGACGGCCCAGAUGCAAUUGCACGGACGGCCCAGAUGCACGCGCAUGGAUGACCUAGAUUCAAUCAAAAACGGACGGCCCAGAUUUAAUCAAAAUGGACGGCUGAGAUCAAAAGGCAAAAGGGUAUAAAUAGAACCCCCACACCUGACCACAAAAACCCUAGCCGCCUGCCCUCGCCGGAGAAGACGAACCAGACGCCGGAGGAGCCGGUCGCCGCCACCCGCCGCCGCACCGGGGAGAUUUCUGACCACCGAUCGAGGUAAAUUUCAUACCCCCGACUCGUUUUUCCAUGCUGAGUUCCCCUGUGGCCAAAUUGGAGCCAAAAUCCUGGCCAAACGGCCGAAAAAUACGGCCGAAACCCAGCGGCGCCGUCGCGCCCCUCCUCGAUUUUUGUCUCUGAUGAGGCCCUUCCUGACCUCCGUAUGAUGCAAUUUUUAUAUCACCGUGAUCACCAUUCUUUUCUCUACAGGUUAAUCGGAGCUGAAUCACCAAAACACGAACCUCGCCGGAGAGUCGCCGCACCCGAGAGCACCGCCGCCGGUAAGCUUCGAUUUUUCGUAAUUUUUUGGCCCCCCGAGGGCCCUAGGGUUGUUUUAUCACAGGGACCGAUGUAAGUGUGGUCGAAUUCGGCCGGAAAUAAUUAUGUAAGAGUGGAGCUGCCGUGCCGGAAUUGUGAUAUUGGCCAAAAGGGGCCUUGGGUCUAAUUUGGAAUUUUUUUGGAACAUGUGAGGGUACCAGUAGUGUGUUUCAGUUCCCCGGAAAAAUUCAGGAAAAAUUAGGGACAGCUUGUAGGCGCACUGUGAAGCCGUGUUCGGACCCCGAAACGAGUAAGGACCCCUCACCCUAUUUCCUAUCACGGUAUUAAAGUUCAAUAAUGAUAAAACAUAAUUCUUGAAUCAACAAAUGUGUGAAAUUGCUUAAGGUCGCUAAUGGAGCCCGAGUCUAGUGUGUUUGUCGGUUAUAUGUUAUUUGGCAUAUUUUACAGUUUUAAAUGCAGCAUGAGGUCUGAUGUUUUCAUUUUAUAGUUUCGUGUGCAUAUUUUACUGUUUUAUUGAUUAUGGGUUGAAUGACUGAGAAACCGAUGCUGUAUGUUGUAUUGUUUGGCAUAAAUUACUGUUUUGCUUGUUUGUGUGUGAAUUGAUGAUGAUGACUGAGGAAAAGAGGAAUGAAAGGUUAUGUAAAUUGAUAAUUGUAUAAUGUGAUCAGCCUGACUAGAUAUCCUGGGAGAUGGUGGACGGACCGGGUCCGUAGGGAACCCUACCAGGAUUGUGGUCUCUCAUACCGGACGGGGUAUGGAGACCCUAUGUGUUUUGGCGCCCAUACCGGACGGAGUAUGGGGACGGCCCGUUUCACCCUCAUACCGGACGGGGUAUUGAGGUUUAUAGUUUUGGCGCCCAUACCGGACGAGGUAUGGGGAUGACCCUAAAAUCUGAUUACAAGUGUUAAGGGUUCACGGGUAGCGGGACCCCUAUGGAUCCCCAUGGAUACUAGUAGGCUGGUAAAAGAGGAAAAAUAUGUUGUGUAAUGAUUGAAUUACAAAAGGCGUGAUAAGUAUUAUGUCAUACAGUUUAUAUGAUUUCAUGAUGAUGAUAAUAUUAUUGCUUUCGUAUAUUGUUUUUAUGAAUUUCACCGAGGUAAGCUUAUUUAAAGGUUUUAUUAUUGAUAAAAGGAUUUGUUGUAAAUUAUGCUCCAUUGGUCUUUUUGUGUUUUCUACCCACCU
rnacentral:lncRNA from 1 species